GACGAACGCUGGCGGCGUGCUUAACACAUGCAAGUCGAACGGAAAGGCCCCUUUGGGGGUACUCGAGUGGCGAACGGGUGAGUAACACGUGAGUAACCUGCCCUUGACUUCGGGAUAACUUCAGGAAACUGGGGCUAAUACCGGAUAGGAAUCCUUGCUGCAUGGUGGGGGUUGGAAAGCUUCGGCGGUUUUGGAUGGACUCGCGGCUUAUCAGCUUGUUGGUGGGGUAGUGGCUUACCAAGGCUUUGACGGGUAGCCGGCCUGAGAGGGCGACCGGCCACAUUGGGACUGAGAUACGGCCCAGACUCCUACGGGAGGCAGCAGGGGGGAAUAUUGCACAAUGGGCGGAAGCCGGAUGCAGCAACGCCGCGUGCGGGAUGACGGCCUUCGGGUUGUAAACCGCAUUCAGCAGGGGCGAAGCUUGUGGUGACGGUACCUGCAGAAGAAGCACCGGCUAACUACGUG
rnacentral:rRNA from 1 species